UACAGAGGGUGCGAGCGUUAAUCGGAAUUACUGGGCGUAAGCGUGCGUAGACGGUUAUUUAAGUCAGAUGUGAAAGCCCCGGGCUCAACCUGGGAAUUGCAUUUGAGACUGAAUAGCUAGGGUACGGUAGAGGGAAGCGGAAUUUCCGGUGUAGCGGUGAAAUGCGUAGAUAUCGGAAGGAACAUCAGUGGCGAAGCGGCCUUCCUGGACCAGUACCGACGUUCAGGCAC
rnacentral:rRNA from 1 species